ACGAACGCUGGCGGCACGCUUAACACAUGCAAGUCGAACGAGAGAAGAGAAGCUUGCUUUUCUGAUCUAGUGGCGGACGGGUGAGUAACACGUGAGCAAUCUGCCUUUCAGAGGGGGAUACCGAUUGGAAACGAUCGUUAAUACCGCAUAACAUAAUUGAACCGCAUGAUUUGAUUAUCAAAGAUUUAUCGCUGAAAGAUGAGCUCGCGUCUGAUUAGCUAGUUGGUAAGGUAACGGCUUACCAAGGCGACGAUCAGUAGCCGGACUGAGAGGUUGAUCGGCCACAUUGGGACUGAGACACGGCCCAGACUCCUACGGGAGGCAGCAGUGGGGAAUAUUGCACAAUGGAGGAAACUCUGAUGCAGCGAUGCCGCGUGAGGGAAGAAGGUUUUAGGAUUGUAAACCUCUGUCUUCAGGGACGAAAAAAAGACGGUACCUGAGGAGGAAGCUCCGGCUAACUACGUGCCAGCAGCCGCGGUAAUACGUAGGGAGCGAGCGUUGUCCGGAAUUACUGGGUGUAAAGGGAGCGUAGGCGGGAUCGCAAGUCAGAUGUGAAAACUAUGGGCUUAACCCAUAAACUGCAUUUGAAACUGUGGUUCUUGAGUGAAGUAGAGGUAAGCGGAAUUCCUAGUGUAGCGGUGAAAUGCGUAGAUAUUAGGAGGAACAUCAGUGGCGAAGGCGGCUUACUGGGCUUUAACUGACGCUGAGGCUCGAAAGCGUGGGGAGCAAACAGGAUUAGAUACCCUGGUAGUCCACGCCGUAAACGAUGAUUACUAGGUGUGGGGGGACUGACCCCUUCCGUGCCGCAGCAAACGCAAUAAGUAAUCCACCUGGGGAGUACGACCGCAAGGUUGAAACUCAAAGGAAUUGACGGGGGCCCGCACAAGCGGUGGAGUAUGUGGUUUAAUUCGAAGCAACGCGAAGAACCUUACCUGCUCUUGACAUCUCCCUGACCGGCAAGUAAUGUUGCCUUUCCUUCGGGACAGGGAUGACAGGUGGUGCAUGGUUGUCGUCAGCUCGUGUCGUGAGAUGUUGGGUUAAGUCCCGCAACGAGCGCAACCCUUACUGUUAGUUGCUACGCAAGAGCACUCUAGCAGGACUGCCGUUGACAAAACGGAGGAAGGUGGGGAUGACGUCAAAUCAUCAUGCCCCUUAUGACCUGGGCCUCACACGUACUACAAUGGCUGUCAACAGAGGGAUGCAAAGCCGCGAGGUGGAGCGAACCCCUAAAAGCAGUCUUAGUUCGGAUUGUAGGCUGCAACCCGCCUACAUGAAGUCGGAAUUGCUAGUAAUCGCAGAUCAGCAUGCUGCGGUGAAUACGUUCCCGGGCCUUGUACACACCGCCCGUCACGCCAUGGGAGUCGGUAACACCCGAAGCCUGUAGUCUAACCGCAAGGAGGACGCAGUCGAAGGUGGGAUUGAUGACUGGGGUG
rnacentral:rRNA from 1 species